CUUUGUUUUCGUACUACGAAAACGAAGACCCUAAAAUAUUUAUUUACAUUGUUUUCGCGAAAAUAAGCGUUUAAAUUUCAAUAUGUUUUCAGGGGGUUGACUAUACCUCCCGUUAGGGCACUUCCUAAGAACACGGCGUAUAUUGGAAAAAUCCCUUACGCUAAAUUAACUUGAAUCACUGAGACAUCUGUGUGUACUAUGUACGUACUCUGGUGGUUCUAUUGACCGUGGUAUUACUGAUUCAAACUUAACUGAUUUUCCCAGACAUUGACAGUAGUACAGCAAUUAAAUAAAUACAUGUCGAAUAUUUGUUAACAUUGUAAAUUUUGCAAUUGUAAUUCUGACAUGGGUAGGGAUAAAACGCUGAAACUGAAUCGCGGAAACGGAAACUGAAAGCGGAAACUGAAAUGGGGGUAAAACGCUGAAAUGGGGGUAAAACGCUGAAAUGGAGGUAAAACGCUGAAAUGGGGGUAAAACGCUGAAAUGGGGAUAAAACGCUGAAAUGGGGGUAAAACGCUGAAAUGGGGAUAAAACGCUGAAAUGGGGGUAAAACGCUGAAAUGGUGAUAAAACGCUGAAAUGGUGAUAAAACGCUGAAAUGGGGAAAUUUAAUCGAAUUCGUUUUUUUUCUAGACCAUUGCGAACGGCAAUUGCUAGAUAGUAUACUUCAAACUAAGGUUUCCGUUUUUAUAUAAAUUUUUAAAAUAAGUUGGGGUUAGGUUAGGGUUUAGGUUGGGGUUACUGGGUAAGGGUUAGUAUUAGGGUUUAGUUUUAUGUUAGGAUAGUUUUUUCUACGUUAUAUGACGUCAAUGCAACAGCCAGUUUAUGCACCUCGGUCAGCGUCAGCAACGCCACAAGGAUCCCAACAGGUCCCAUUACCUACCGCUGUCAAUCCUCCAGUAGGAACAUUUGUUCUUAGUCUUUUGCAGUGUUGUCCUCCUUUAGUUCGCACCUGUUUUGGGUGUUCCCAAUCGUUAAAACUCGGCGGGAUUAUCGCAAGUCCACCGUAUGAUUUGACGAUUAUUACACGUAUGAAUAGAGGUUUUCCUAACCCUAAUACUCCUGAUGGACAGUUGAUGUUCAAAGAACAAAAUGUAUAUUUCCAUGUAUAAAUUUGAGUUGCCUCAAGAUGAAGCAGUCAUAUUUUAACCCUGCCUGCGUAACUGUACCAAAUUGGCUGCCAUAUUAUUUAACACCAGAACAUGUGCGCUUUUUACGAGAGUUUGGUGCUCAAAUUUGACGUGGCAUGAUGUCGAU